rnacentral:misc_RNA from 1 species
UUUCCGUAGGUGAACCUGCGGAAGGAUCAUUAAAGUUAUAGUCCCCCGGCCCUCUGGGCUGGGGUCUUCUAUACCACCCUUUGUUUAUUACACCUUUGUUGCUUUGGCAGGCCUGCCCUCGGCUGCUGGCUCCGGCCGGCUCGCGUCUGCCAGAGGACCUAAACCCUGUUUGUAUAUGAAGUCUGAGUACUAUAUAAUAGUUAAAACUUUCAACAACGGAUCUCUUGGUUCUG